AGGACGAACGCUGGCGGCGUGCUUAACACAUGCAAGUCGAGCGAGGCUCCUCCUUCGGGAGGAUGUCCUAGCGGCGAACGGGUGAGUAACACGUGGGCAACCUGCCCUCAGCUCUGGGAUAACUCCGGGAAACCGGGGCUAAUACCGGAUACGACCUCCACGGGCAUCUGUGGAGGUGGAAAGUUUUUCGGCUGAGGAUGGGCCCGCGGCCUAUCAGCUAGUUGGUGGGGUGAUAGCCCACCAAGGCGACGACGGGUA
rnacentral:rRNA from 1 species